UGGAUCCAGACUUUGAUCAUGGCUCAGGAUAAACGCUGGCGGCGCACAUAAGACAUGCAAGUCGAACGAACUUAACCUUUAGUUUACUAAUGGAGCGGCUAGUGGCGGACUGGUGAGUAACACGUAAGCAACCUGCCUAUCAGAGGGGAACAACAGUUAGAAAUGACUGCUAAUACCGCAUAUACCUAAGCAUCGCAUGAUGCAAUAGGGAAAGGAGCAAUCCGCUGAUAGAUGGGCUUGCGUCUGAUUAGCUAGUUGGUGGGGUAAAGGCCUACCAAGGCAACGAUCAGUAGCCGGACUGAGAGGUUGAACGGCCACAUUGGGACUGAGAUACGGCCCAGACUCCUACGGGAGGCAGCAGUCGGGAAUAUUGCGCAAUGGAGGAAACUCUGACGCAGUGACGCCGCGUGCAGGAAGAAGGUUUUCGGAUUGUAAACUGCUUUAGACAGGGAAGAUAAUGACAGUACCUGUAGAAUAAGCUCCGGCUAACUACGUGCCAGCAGCCGCGGUAAUACGUAGGGAGCAAGCGUUAUCCGGAUUUAUUGGGUGUAAAGGGUGCGUAGACGGGAAGGCAAGUUGGUUGUGAAAUCCCUCGGCUUAACUGAGGAACUGCAACCAAAACUAUCUUUCUUGAGUGCUGGAGAGGAAAGUGGAAUUCCUAGUGUAGCGGUGAAAUGCGUAGAUAUUAGGAGGAACACCAGUGGCGAAGGCGACUUUCUGGACAGUAACUGACGUUGAGGCACGAAAGUGUGGGGAGCAAACAGGAUUAGAUACCCUGGUAGUCCACACCGUAAACGAUGGAUACUAGGUGUAGGUGAUGAAUAAUCAUCUGUGCCGUCGCAAACGCAGUAAGUAUCCCACCUGGGGAGUACGGCCGCAAGGUUGCAACUCAAAUGAAUUGACGGA
rnacentral:rRNA from 1 species